rnacentral:lncRNA from 1 species
UUAUAGAGUUGCCAGCAUUUAUCUAGCUGGGCGCCUACUGAUGGACUUUCGUUUGUUCUGUUUGUAGUCGGACGAGGAAGGCAGCCAGGAGAAAGGAGGGGACGACAGCCAGCAGAAGUUCAUUGCUCACGUCCCUGUUCCCUCGCAGCAAGAGAUUGAGGAGGCACUGGUGCGAAGGAAGAAAAUGGAACUCCUCCAGAAGUAUGCAAGCGAGACCCUGCAGGCCCAAAGUGAAGAAGCCAGAAGGCUCCUGGGGUAUUAGGACCCAGCUGGGGCUCUCCUUGGAGUUCUUCCAUCCCCCAGUGGUACCUCAGGACCCAGGGCUGCAGACACAGGCUGGUGCUGCAAGGGCUCCUGCCCCAUUCUCAGCCUUCCUUCCCUCUCCUUGUCUCAUGUUGACCGGAGGGUAGGGGUCUGUCCCUGGUCUUCCUGGUAGGUUUUGUACACAUAUUUUGCUACUGUGUGGAUCCAUUUAUUUUUAUUGUGGAGUGUAUACAACAGGUUGCGAACUGGCUGCCUGUGUCUUAUUUUGACUUGCACUGCCAUUUUGAG